UGGCCUUCUCGCGGCUUUCCCCCGAUAUCUCUCUUUAUUCCAGCUGCCUGAAACUCGGUCCCACGAAUGGCAGGCAGCGUCCAAAAUUCAACCCCGUAAAGCCAGCACCAGCCAAUAAAGCGCACGGAUGGAGGCCACGUGACAGCAGUGGGCCGGCCCUCCGGCUGAGCCCUGAUCUCUAUGGUUUCCGCGGCUCGCUAGAAGGAGUGUGGUCCACCGGAGGACUCCCUACAUUCUUCCUCCAUUACCUCACUGCCUCCGGUGGCUGCUGGGAUACCGGAGGACUCGGGUCCCGGCUCGACUCAGUCCUCCAGCCGCCCGGGGAAUACCUCUAGUUCUUCCCGGCCGCCGCCGCCGCCGCCGCCCCGCCGCUUCCUCCUCCGCCUGCCGGCCUCCUUCGCCCCGUCCCGUCCGCGCAGCGCGUCCGGCCCGCCCGCAGGCCAGCUUCUCUCGGGAGCCCCCACCCAGGCGCAUGGCUCCAUGAAGCAAGAGGAGGAGGCAGAGCGCGAGAGGUCCCGUCCGCCCCAGCCGCGUCUGGGCCAGGAUAAAAGCAAAACCAUAUUCCUGCUGCUGUCAGUUAUGAUGCACUGAGAAAACUUCAGAGACCUAAACUUUUUCCAGAGAAGAGAAGCUUUACUGGUGUUCCAGCCCUAAGGCUCAUAUGACAUUAACAGACAAGACACUUUUCAGAAAGACAGGGAACUGUGGAAGUAAACCAGGGGUGACAUGGAUUAUCAAAUAUUGUGGAUCAGGUGAGCUCUAGGCUUCUCAAUGCAAGGCAACGUGUUGGACCUUCCGGAGCUUCUCAGAAGACAGAGGGUUUUCUUUUGAGGUAAAUUUGAUAGUACAUUUUGAUAGUACGGGAGGCGAUACGGCAUGGUGACAGAAAAGCGCCGGCUUGGUUAGCAGGACCACCUGGCAGGGCUGCAGGCUGUGCCACUUACCAGGCAGGGGACCUUGGGCCAGCUGCUUGGCCUCACUCACCCUGUUUCUCAGCUGCAAUUGGGAUGAACAGACUGCCUGCUUCGGGGUUGCCUAAAACUCACAUUGGUUAAUGAUGUGAAAUGCUUAGCGCAGUGCCUGGCAUAGAGAGAAUUCUCAUUAGAUGAUACCUCAGCUGGGCUUUAGGAGCUACAGAAGAAGCUGCAUCUCCAUGAGCUCAGCGUGUUUCUAGCUUUCCUUUUUGUUUUCUAUUCAACCUUUCACCCAACUCAGCUUCUCAAUCCCUAAAUGACAAAGGUUUGGGAAGGAAGACUUGGACCGAGGCUUGCAUUUGUUUCUGAGAAUUAAACGUUAUGUUUUCUUCAAUCUAAAUAGGUUUGCUUGUACAGCCUUGUUGAAUGGUUUUUUUUUUUUUUCUCCAUGAUAAAUGACUCUCAACUUCUUUUCCCUCAUCUAAUUGCUUAUCUACAUACAAUGCCUGGAAGGAAAUAAAUGUAAUGGCCCGUAGCAACUGGCCUUCAGGUAUCAAGUUUAAGUCCCUUUAAGCAGAACAGCAAAUUGAGCACAGAAUGAACUGGUUUCAUGGUAGCGUACUGCAAUUAGAUGCAAGAAUAGGGAAAGCAGGGUGCUUCAAGUGGUGACACAAUUAGUAUAGCACUGAGGGACUUCUCUUUCCACUUCUUCAACUCCGCCUGCAUUCCGCUGGCUGAAGAGUUGAUGACAUCCCUGAAAAAUCUUCCCUCUCUUGUUUCUCUGAUGCCACCUCUGUGUUCUCCGCCUCACUGGCCACACUUCCUUUACCUCCCAAACUUUUAACUCUGAGUGUCCCAAACUUGUCUCAUCACCUACCCCUGCUGCCCAGCUCCCCAGCCUGUUCCCCUUCUGACACGGGCACUCUCCUUCUGCUCUCUUGGGAGAGAAACAAUGAAGGCCUAUUUGGCACUUUUAUUUCUAUUCAAGGAACCAGACUGUGAACAAGUUUACCAUUUAGUCCUUUGGACUGUGUCUUGAAUUCAUCCCUCUUCUCCAUUCUCACCAGCACCAUCAUCAUGAUGGCUAAUAUUUCCUGAGCACCUUUCAUUCAGGCAUGAUGCCAGGUGCACCAACUUACUUAAUCCUCAUAGCCACCACCUGAGCAAGCUCCUGUUUUAUAAAUGGACCAGUUCUUGUUGCUGUUGUACAAGUUAUUUUCUUUCUAUAACGUCCUCCUUGUCCUCCUUCCACAUUCUUAAAGAAACUUUCCCUUCCUUUAAAGUACUCAGGGAGCCCUGCAUUGCUUCUUGAAGCCUUCUCCAGCUUCAUCAUCUCACAGUGGUCUCUCUUUUCACUAAAUGUCCAAUAUGCUGCACAUAAGUACCCCAAAGUUAGCACAGAAUUGUUCCAUGGCUGUCAUAUAUGUUAAAAAUCAUUAAAAGUUCAUUUUUUCUCCCAUUAUGGGAAGGAUACAUGCUCCUACUAGUAAAUUUAGUUGGUAGAAAAAAAUUAUCACUAUCUAGACUGCUUUCCCUUUAGUCUUUAUGCAUAGCUUUCUGUCUGCCUAUUUUUACUUUGUGUUUGUAACUUACUAUUAUAAAAUAUGCAUCUCUAUGUUCAUUGUCAACAUUAUUUACAAUAACAUGGAGUGGAUUUACAUGUAUUCUCUAUAUUUGGAUUAAAGGAGAUAGAGUAUGUGAAAUUAAAUGGGAGAAGUAUCUGAUACAUAACAGGCAAUACAAAUAUUAUCACAUAGCGUCAAUUUAUUUGUGAAUAUUGAAAGCUCCA
rnacentral:lncRNA from 1 species